rnacentral:rRNA from 1 species
GUGGGGAAUCUUCCGCAAUGGGCGAAAGCCUGACGGAGCAACGCCGCGUGAGUGAAGACGGCCUUCGGGUCGUAAAGCUCUGUUAUAUGGGACGAACGUAUCUAUGGCCAAUACCCAUAGAUAGUGACGGUACCGUAAGAGAAAGCCACGGCUAACUACGUGCCAGCAGCCGCGGUAAUACGUAGGUGGCAAGCGUUGUCCGGAAUUAUUGGGCGUAAAGGGCGCGCAGGCGGCCGGUCAAGUCUGUCUUAAAAGUGCGGGGCUCAACCCCGUGAUGGGACGGAAACUGGCAGGCUGGAGUGUCGGAGAGGAAAGCAGAAUUCCUAGUGUAGCGGUGAAAUGCGUAGAUAUUAGGAGGAAUACCAGUGGCGAAAGCGGCUUUCUGGACGACAACUGACGCUGAGGCGCGAAAGCCAGGGGAGCAAACGGGAUUAGAUACCCUUGUAGUCC